rnacentral:rRNA from 1 species
AACUAACAAGGAUUCCCCUAGUAACUGCGAGUGAAGCGGGAAAAGCUCAAAUUUAAAAUCUGGCAGUCUUUGGCUGUCCGAGUUGUAAUCUAGAGAAGUAUUAUCCGCGCUGGACCGUGUACAAGUCUCCUGGAAUGGAGCGUCAUAGAGGGUGAGAAUCCCGUCUUUGACACGGACUGCCAGGGCUUUGUGAUAUGCUCUCAAAGAGUCGAGUUGUUUGGGAAUGCAGCUCAAAAUGGGUGGUAAAUUCCAUCUAAAGCUAAAUAUUGGCGAGAGACCGAUAGCGAACAAGUACCGUGAGGGAAAGAUGAAAAGAACUUUGGAAAGAGAGUUAAACAGUACGUGAAAUUGCUGAAAGGGAAACGCUUGAAGUCAGUCGCGUUGGCCAGGGAUCAACCUUGCUUUUGCUUGGCUUACUUUCUGGUCGAUGGGUCAGCAUCAAUUUUGACUGGUGGAAAAAGUUCAAGGGAAUGUGGCAUCUUCGGAUGUGUUAUAGCCUUUGUUCACAUACAUUGGUUGGGAUUGAGGAACUCAGCACGCCGCAAGGCCGGGUUUUUAACCACGUACGUGCUUAGGAUGCUGGCAUAAUGGCUUUAAUCGACCCGUCUUGAAACACGGACCAAGGAGUCUAACAUGCCUGCGAGUAUUUGGGUGAAAAACCCGAGUGCGUAAUGAAAGUGAAAGUUGAGAUCCCUGUCGUGGGGAGCAUUGACGCCCGGAUCUGACCUUUUGUGACGAUUCUGCGGUAGAGCAUGUAUGUUGGGACCCGAAAGAUGGUGAACUAUGCCUGAAUAGGGUGAAGCCAGAGGAAACUCUGGUGGAGGCUCGUAGCGAUUCUGACGUGCAAAUCGAUCGUCAAAUUUGGGUAUAGGGGCGAAAGACUAAUCGAACCAUCUAGUA